GCUUAGUUAGCUUGGGGGGUAGUGCGUCUGCCUUGUAAGCACUAGGUCGCGGGUUUGAUUCCCGCCCAGGGCG
rnacentral:tRNA from 1 species